GCCGGGCGUGGUGCUGCACGCCUGUAAUCCCAGCACUUGGGAGGUAGAGGCAGGCGGAUUUCUGAGUUCGAGACCUGCCUGGUCUACAAAGUGAGUUCCAGGACAGCCAGGGCUAUACAGAGAAACCCUGUCUCGAAAAACCAAAAAAAAAAAAAAAAAAAAAAAAAAAAUUAAUAGCAUUUUUUUUCAGGGACAGAGUUUCUCUGUAUAGCUCUGGCUGUCCUGGAACUCACUUUGUAGACCAGGCUGACCUCGAACUCAGAAAUCUACCUGCCU
rnacentral:SRP_RNA from 1 species